GCCUGCUCACUGAAAAUUAAAGAGCCGCAGUAUUUUGACUGUGCUAAGGUAGCAUAAUCAUUAGUCUUUUAAUUGGGGACUGGUAUGAAUGGCUAAACGAGAAAUCUUCUUUUUUUAUUAUAAAUAUCGAAUUUAUUUUUUUAGUGAAAAAACUAAAAUAUUCCUGAAAGACGAGAAGACCCUAUAGAGUUUUAUAUAGUAAACUAUCAUAUUGUAUUAGAUCUGGUUCGAUUUGAUUUUAUUCUGUAAUUUGUUGGGGCGACAUUAAGAUAAAAAAAACUCUUUUUUAUAAAAACUUUGAUAAAUGAAUAACUUGAUCCUUUAAAAAAGAUAAUAAGAUAAAAUUACCUUAGGGAUAACAGCGUAAUCUUUUUUGAGAGUUCUAAUCGACAAAAAGGUUUGCGACCUCGAUGUUGGACUAACAUUUAGACGUGGUGCAGCAGCUCCAUU
rnacentral:rRNA from 1 species